GACUUAAUGGCUCAGUUGGUUAGAGCGCAGGUCUCAUACUCUGAGGUCGUGGGUUCGAUCCUUGCCUGAGCA